AAACUCUCAAGCUCCGCUUGGUGAUGGGCGCCUGUCUCACUAUUUGCGUGAUGACUCGCCUCAAAAGCAGUUGGCAGCUUCCUCUCCGGCUCUGAAACGCAGCAGAAUUGCGUGGAACGUCGUGGGAAGAAGCUUUCCAGUAAGCAAAUUACUCCUUA
rnacentral:misc_RNA from 1 species